UCUUUUUUUUCUUUUUCUUUUUGUUCAUUUUUUAAACUUUUCACCUGUCAGAAAAUACUGGGAUUUUGAACAGAGAUCAGAAGUUGACAGAAGUAAGUAUAAAAAUGAACCUACCAACUUGUUCCUGAGUUACUGUCACUGUUGGAAGAGAUGUGAUCUUUUCCUUGUCAGCUGGGGGAGGACCUGUGUUUUCCAGUUGUCCUAAAAGCUACAAAAAAAAAAAAAAAAAAAAAAAAAAAAAGAGAGAGAGAGAGA